rnacentral:lncRNA from 10 species
GGUGUGGAACAGAGGCUCCUCCCAAGGCUCUUUCUGCCUCUGGAUGUUGGUGUUGAUGAUGUGAUGUCUGGAGCUGUUGCAACCGCCUUGCUACCAGCUCAGGGCAGAAGCUUCAAGAACAGAAAGGCAAGGCUGAGAGAAUCCCAGGGAAGCAGAGCUACAUGCUGGGAGUUCUGUUCCUGAAGCCUGCCUCACCCAGGGGCUUCUUAUCAUGAAGCAAGAACAUAUGCAUGUGCGUGGCACAGACCCGACAGAUGGGAAACUCCCUCCUUGCCCUUCUUAUCCUGAUGACCUCUGGCAGCUCCAGGCAACACAGAUAUAAAAUAGCGACCAACAGGUUUGAAAAGUCAAGCAGACUCUUCCUUGGCUGAUGACUGCUUUCUGACUCAAUGGAAGACCUUGUUCUCUAGCGUCAGGGCUGUCAGAAACUUUGCUUAUGAGUAAGAAGAACAUCCCACUGCUUGGAGGAUCUAGGUCCACCUUAAACCAGAAGCACAGAGCUACAGAGAAGGGGUUUCUAGAAAGAAUCUCCACAUCUGGCUGGACUUUAUGGGUUCUGAGGACACAGGACCUAGGUCCACUUUGCAGACCAGACCAUACCUGACCCUGGCUCCUUUACACGGAGGCCUGCCAUGCUCUGAGUGCAUCAAUCCAGCCUCAAAAUCCCUCCUUCCAAUCCUAUGAUAACUUCUUUUCCUUUGUUUGUCGAGUCAUCUGAGGAUCCUUGAUGUGACUGUAUUCCCUUAUUGCAACAAGCCAAUAUUGAAUGUGUUGACUACAGUACUGAUUUUGGUGGCUGGUUGCACUAGGAUAUGUGUUAUUUUCUGGAUUUUGUAGAUGUUUGUAGUAUAUCUCAGCAUUUUAAAAAAUGAGUAUUUUGCUGUAAUUUGUUUUCUCUUCGUAAAUAAACAUUAACUUUUGUGCUUUCUUUUGUAUUGCUAGUAUUGCUCUAUUUUCCAUGCAGGGAGCCCCUAUAUCACAGGAGCCUCAGGCCUCACAGCAUCUUGAUCCAUCUGUGCUUGUUGUGCCGAGCGUCCACCUGCCCAGGGAAAGGCUGCACUGUCUCACACUUCCCAGGCCUCCG